GAAGUGCGAACCAAGCAGGCGCAAGAGAGCGCUGUGAGACUUGGAGCUGGCCUUGGUAACGAGGUCAUGCA
rnacentral:ncRNA from 1 species